AAAGAUUUUAAGUUAACCAAACUAGCAUCCUUCAAAGCUGCCAAAAAAAGUUCCACCCUUUUAAAUCUU
rnacentral:tRNA from 1 species